rnacentral:rRNA from 1 species
UACGUAGGGGGCAAGCGUUGUCCGGAUUUACUGGGCGUAAAGAGCGUGGAGGCGGCCAAGCAGGUCCGUUGUGAAAACUGGAGGCUUAACCUCCAGACGUCGACGGAAACCGCGUGGCUAGAGUCCGGAAGAGGAGAGUGGAAUUCCUGGUGUAGCGGUGAAAUGCGCAGAUAUCAGGAAGAACACCAAUGGCGAAGGCAGCUCUCUGGGACGGUACUGACGCUGAGACGCGAAAGCGUGGGGAGCGAACAGG